GGGACAACAGUUGGAAACGACUGCUAAUACCGCAUAAGCCCACGGAUUCGCAUGGAUCUGCGGGAAAAGGAUUUAUUCGCUCUAGGAUGGACUCGCGUCCAAUUAGCUAGUUGGUGAGGUAACGGCCCACCAAGGCGACGAUUGGUAGCCGGACUGAGAGGUUGAACGGCCACAUUGGGACUGAGACACGGCCCAGACUCCUACGGGAGGCAGCAGUGGGGGAUAUUGCACAAUGGGGGAAACCCUGAUGCAGCGACGCCGCGUGGAGGAAGAAGGUUUUCGGAUUGUAAACUCCUGUCGUUAGGGACGAUAAUGACGGUACCUAACAAGAAAGCACCGGCUAACUACGUGCCAGCAGCCGCGGUAAAACGUAGGGUGCAAGCGUUGUCCGGAAUUACUGGGUGUAAAGGGAGCGCAGGCGGACCGGCAAGUUGGAAGUGAAAACUAUGGGCUCAACCCAUAAAUUGCUUUCAAAACUGCUGGCCUUGAGUAGUGCAGAGGUAGGUGGAAUUCCCGGUGUAGCGGUGGAAUGCGUAGAUAUCGGGAGGAACACCAGUGGCGAAGGCGACCUACUGGGCACCAACUGACGCUGAGGCUCGAAAGCAUGGGUAGCAAACAGGAUUAGAUACCCUGGUAGUCCAUGCCGUAAACGAUGAUUACUAGGUGUUGGAGGAUUGACCCCUUCAGUGCCGCAG
rnacentral:rRNA from 1 species